rnacentral:rRNA from 1 species
GAUGAACGCUGGCGGCGUGCCUAACACAUGUAAGUCGAACGUGAAGAUGCAGCAAUGUAUCUGAAAGUGGCGGACGGGUGAGUAACACGUAGGUGACCUGCCUCGAAGAGGGGGAUAACCAUUGGAAACGAUGGCUAAUACCGCAUGGUCUUGUUUAGGUGGGAACUUAGACAAGUAAAACCUUGGUGCUUCGAGAGGGGCCUGCGUCCGAUUAGCUAGUUGGUAGGGUAACGGCCUACCAAGGCGAUGAUCGGUAGCUGGUCUGAGAGGACGAUCAGCCACACGGGAACUGAGAAACGGUCCCGACUCCUACGGGGGGCAGCAGUGAGGAAUAUUGCACAAUGGGCGAAAGCCUGAUGCAGCAACGCCGCGUGGAGGAUGAAGGUUUUCGGAUUGUAAACUCCUUUUAUGGGGGAAAAGAACGGAUGGUACCCCGUGAAUAAGUCACGGCUAACUACGUGCCAGCAGCCGCGGUAAUACGUAGGUGACGAGCGUUAUCCGGAUUUAUUGGGCGUAAAGCGUACGCAGGCGGUUUUUUAAGUCUGACGUGAAACCUCCCGGCUUAACUGGGAGAAUGCGUUGGAAACUGGAGGACUUGAGGCAAUGAGAGGUAUGCAGAAUUCCCGGUGUAGUGGUGGAAUGCGUAGAUAUCGGGGGGAAUACCAGUGGCGAAAGCGGCAUACCAGCAUUGUACUGACGCUCAUGUACGAAAGCGUGGGUAGCAAACGGGAUUAGAUACCCCGGUAGUCCACGCCGUAAACGAUGAACACUAGGUGUGGGUGGCCUUAAAAACCAUCCGUACCGAAGCCAACGCGAUAAGUGUUCCGCCUGGGAAGUACGGCCGCAAGGCUAAAACUCAAAGGAAUUGACGGGGACCCGCACAAGCAGCGGAGCGUGUGGUUUAAUUCGAUGCGACGCGAAAAACCUUACCUGGGUUUGACAUGUACGUAGUAGUGAAGUGAAAGCGGAACGAUCCGCAAGGAAGCGUGCACAGGUGAUGCAUGGCUGUCGUCAGCUCGUGUCGUGAGAUGUUGGGUUAAGUCCCGCAACGAGCGCAACCCCUAUCGUUAGUUACACGUGUCUAGCGAGACUGCUGGAUUAUAUGCCAGAGGAAGGUGGGGACGACGUCAAGUCAGCAUGUCCUUUAUAUCCAGGGCUACACACACGCUACAAUGGGCAGCACAAUGGGCAGCGAAAGGGCGACCUGGAGCAAAUCCUAACAAAGCUGUUCGUAGUUCGGAUUGCAGGCUGCAACUCGCCUGCAUGAAGCUGGAGUUGCUAGUAAACGCAGGUCAGCAUUACUGCGUUGAAUACGUUCCCGGGUCUUGUACACACCGCCCGUCACGUCAUGGGAGUUGGUAACACCUGAAGUCGGUGACUCAACCGCAAGGAGAGAGCUGCCUAGGGUGGGGCUGAUGACUGGGACG